GUAGGUGUGCUGGAAUAGGCAGACAGGAUAGAUUGAGGGUCUAUUAAGGAAAUCCUUGUGUGGGUUCAAGUCCCACCAUCUACACCA
rnacentral:tRNA from 1 species